GCCCGCCUAGCUCAAUCGGAUAGAGCGUCACACUUUUAUAAUCCAUUGGAGGAUUUCUAAGAGGAUCUGAAGGCUGCGAGUUCGACCCUCGCGGUGGGCU